rnacentral:tRNA from 1 species
GGGCUUGUGGCGCAAUGAUAACGCGUCUGACUACGGAUUAGAAGAUUCCAGGUUCGAAUCCUGGCAAGCUCG